AUGGAUCAGGAGCUGAUCGAGCACCUUGAGGCCAAAGUGAGUGCUGACAGCACGAGAUCUCACCCUCUCAUCGAUUUGUUCAUACCAACCAUCGACAGCGAGCACGGCAUAUGCUACACCCAUCCUGAGAAAUUUCCAGGUAUCACACUGAGUGGCCUAAGCAAGCAUUUCUUCCAGUGCAUUCAAAAGGGGCACGUGGACGCGUCGCAAGAUACAGUCGGCGUGCGGCAUGCACGCGAUGUGGCACAACACCGGCAAUACCUUGCCGGUGAUGGUCAACGGCCGGCAGACGGGCAGCAAGAAGGUUCUGGUGCUGCACACCAACAAGAACUUCGACCAGCAGAGGACCAACUGGGUGAUGCACCAGUACCACCUCGGGGACCUGGAGCAAGAGAAGGAGCGGGAGCUGGUCCUCUGCAAGAUUUUCUACCAGACGAACACUAG
rnacentral:rRNA from 1 species